rnacentral:rRNA from 1 species
GAAAUGCGAUAAGUAAUGUGAAUUGCAGAAUUCAGUGAAUCAUCGAAUCUUUGAACGCACCUUGCGCUCCUUGGUAUUCCGAGGAGCAUGCCUGUCCGAGCGUCAUUUCAACCCUCGAACCCCUCCGGGGGGUCGGCGUUGGGGAUCGGCCCUUUACGGGGCCGGCCCCGAAAUACAGUGGCGGUCUCGCCGCAGCCUCUCCUGCGCAGUAGUUUGCACACUCGCAUCGGGAGCGCGGCGCGUCCACAGCCGUUAAACACCCCAAACUUCUGAAAUGUUGACCUCGGAUCAGGUAGGAAUACCCGCUGAACUUAA